CAGGAUCCUAGUUCCCCAACCAGGAAUUGAACCUGAACCCCCUUCACUGGAAGUGCAUAGCCUUAAUCACUGGACCACUAAGGAAGAGCAACUUUCUGAGUGUCACCUAUGGAGAAUUUGAAGGAAUGGAGUCUUCCCUAAAAAAUUGUCAAAAAUGAGACAGAAGGAGAAGGAAUGGAAAAAAAUCGGAUAGAACAAAGGAAGAGGGUCUCUCUCACCAAGGACGACAUGGUUAAGCCACUGUCUCUCUCUGAUUCUUAACUACACAACAUAAGUAAUAUUUCAUAUCAGUCGUGCCAUGACAGAAUAUACUUGUGGCCUUUCUGUAAAUUCCUGAUAAAGAUCUUCCAUCUUUGGUUUUGAUUUAUCUCCUGGUUUCUUCCAUGACCCAGGCCACUGGGAAAAUCAAAAUCCAAGCUGAGAGCCAACCAAGAAUUUAAAACCAACUUCAACUGGACAAGUUUAUGAACAUCAAGCAAAUUAAAACUUUUAUUCAAUUCUUUUAGAUGUACAUUUCAUUAAAACUGAGUUUCUUCUACUUUACAUUGUUGAAAUGCUUUUAUAAUUAAUUGGCCAUUUUUCAACAACAGUCACACUCAUGUACUUUUGAAUAGGUGUCAGAAAACACCACUGUGCUCUUAACAUUGGUUUGACAUUUACAAUUCAGGCUUCUAAUGUGCAGAAAUGGCUUUCAUGCUAGACUGAUGCACUGCCUUUUCUAGAUGAAUGUACACUGUGGUAUCUGAAAACGGUAACAUGGUUAAUCAGUUGCAUUCUGAGCAUCAGUACUUA
rnacentral:lncRNA from 1 species